rnacentral:rRNA from 1 species
GACGAACGCUGGCGGCGUGCUUAACACAUGCAAGUCGAACGAAGUGGCGCACGGGUGAGUAACGCGUAAUCAACCUGCCCUUCAGCGGGGGACAACAGUUGGAAACGACUGCUAAUACCCCAUAAUGAAGGUGGGGAUUGCGUCUGAUUAGCAAGUUGGGGGGGUAACGGCCCACCAAGGCGAUGAUCAGUAGCCGGUCUGAUAGGAUGAACGGCCACAAUGGGACCUGGACACAGCCCAGACUCCUACGGGAGGCAGCAGUUGGGAAUCUGCCGCAAUGGACGAAAGUCUUACGGAGCCACGCCGCGUGAGUGAUGACGGCCUUCGGGUUGUAAAGCUCUUUUAAUCGGGACGCGGUACCGGAAUAGAAAGCCACGGCUAACUACGUGCCAGCAGCCGCGGUAAUAC